UGUUAUUUCUGGGCAGCUACUAUAUUUCACCACCCAUAUCUCCAGAGGAUAGGACACAGGGUUUUAAGAGGAGGAAAUAUCAUUGUUUAAAUAAUAAAUCAAAACUAAUGUGGUAGCAAAAGGGAUUAGAUUAAAUCAGAUCAAAAGACCUGACACACAAUGCUUUACAUGAGUUCGUUGAACCUGGUUUGGAGACUCAUAUUAAUAAUUUCUUGGUGGUGCUUAAGAGCAUGGACUUGAGAGCCAGAUGGCAUGUU